UGUAGAGGUGCUUCCACGGUUCCCGGCUCCGCGCGCCCCGGAUCACACACCAGGAAAGUGAAAGCGCACACGGGUCAGAUAGUUUCUACUUUGGACGGUUGGAGAACAAGAUCAGGAAACUCUGAGCGCACCGAUUAUACUGCACGGAACAGCACAAUCUUUGCUCUCCGAAUUGGAUCAGAUAAAGCCCAGAGAUUCUCGGUCCAUCCUACACCCAGCAGCCACGGUGCCGGCUCCGGCCCUUGGUUUCCGUCUGAGGCGAGGCCACUUGGGAGUGCUGGUGUAGUGGAGGUAUGGACUGUAACUGUGUUAGUGACCUGCUGCUCACGCCACCCGUCCCAACCCUCUGGACACCAGGUGAGACACUGGAAGAGUUUUUUUUUUUCUUUUCGUUUUUUUUUUUUUUUGAAGAGGUUCUGUAUGACAAAACCACCAUCAUGACAAGACAGUAGAAACAGAUGCAUAGAUGUUAUAUUGAUUUUUAAAACAAAGUUUUGAUACAUAUUUUAGCUAAUUAUCACACUAAUAAGACCAACAGCAUGACUGUGAGUGUGAUAUGCUAUUAUACUGCAGUUUACUGAAAUAGAAGUUCAUAUUGACCAACUUACAUUUUAGACACAAUAUAGACUAUAGUCAGGGUAGCAUCAUAUUUAAUUUUUAACAGGAAUUAAAGUGAGGCUGUGAGGGAUAGAAGUGCAUUCAAUAGAUUGUACUGUUGUUUAACAACAUGAACAUACCGAUUGUUCAGCUGAUGAAAUGUCCUUCCAAAAACAACCUUUCAGUAGACAAAAGAUUCAUAAAACAGCUUUGAAAGUUGGAGAAAAUUACAAUUUACGAUUUACAACAAAACAUCAAGAUUUGAUGAAAACUAAGCUAGUAAUGUAUUACUAUCUCGCUAGAAAUAACAUCAAAAGUAGAAUAAGUCAGUUAAAAACACAAAUUUCACAUAUAAACUGACCACUAACCAUAGCUUUCAGAUGUGUUUUGUAUAGUGUUUUGAACAAAUUAAUGAAAGUUUCAAAUGACUCACUAAUAAAAACAUCCUCUGGUCGCCA
ensembl:lncRNA